rnacentral:rRNA from 1 species
GUGCAAGCGUUGUCCGGAAUUAUUGGGCGUAAAGAGCUCGUAGGCGGUCUGUCGCGUCUGCUGUGAAAACCCGGGGCUCAACCCCGGGCCUGCAGCCGAUACGGGCAGACUAGAGUUCGGCAGGGGAGACUGGAAUUCCUGGUGUAGCGGUGAAAUGCGCAGAUAUCAGGAGGAACACCGGUGGCGAAGGCGGGUCUCUGGGCCGUAACUGACGCUGAGGAGCGAAAGCGUGGGGAGCGAACAGG